rnacentral:misc_RNA from 1 species
AAAACAGACACAGCACAAACCCAGGAUACUGGGUUAAAAAGAAAAUGCAAAUUCCACAACCACCGUUAUCACCACUCCCAACGACAGCCACCAUCACCUCCUCCACAACCACCACAAAAGACGGCACGAAAACCACACUCUCCAUCAUUCUAGCCACCGCCCUUUUCUCACUCCUCUUCAUAUUGUCUCUUUCUCCUUCCUCUACCUCCUUACACACCACCACCCACGACCGCCCCGACCCUUACCUCUUCCCCAACCGACAACCUACUUUCAACAAGAUUCCCUCGGAUCCAGCCCCACCUUCCAUCGCCUACUUGAUUUCCGGAUCGAAGGGUGACUCGGGUCGGAUACUUAGACUUCUCUACGCCACUUACCACCCCAAAAACCAGUAUAUCCUCCACAUAGAUCGCUUUGCUGCGCAGGCUGAGCGCGACCGAUUAGCCGUCACAGUCCAAUCGGUGCCUAUCUUUAGAGCUGCACUGAAUGUGAAUGUGAUAGGGAAAGCUGAUUUCGCGUACCCGAAAGGAUCGUCUACGAUUUCAGAGACUCUACAUGGUGCUGCUAUAUUGAUGAGGUUGUCAAAGAAUUGGGACUGGUUCAUUAGUCUUAGUGCUCGUGAUUACCCACUUGUUACACAAGAUGAUCUGCUUCACAUUUUGUCCUAUUUGCCAAGGGAUUUCAACUUUGUGAAUCACACAAGUUACAUUGGUUGGAGGGAGUCUAAACAAUUGAAGCCUAUAAUUGUUGAUCCGGGGCUUUAUCUUUCUGAGAGAACUGAGAUGUUUUAUGCUACUCAAAAGCGAGACUUACCUAAUGCUUUCAGGAUAUUUACAGGUUCUUCUUUUUCCAUUUUAAGUCGUAAUUUUAUAGAGCACUGCAUCUUGGGUACAGACAACCUUCCUAGGAUCCUACUGAUGUAUUUUUCAAAUACGCCUUCAUCCCUAAUCAACUACUUCCCUACCGUCCUAUGUAAUUCUCAUCAGUUCAACAGGACUGUCAUAAACGAUAACUUACAAUAUGUAGCCUUUGAGAAGCCCUCCAAACAGGUGCCUCGCAUACUGAAUUCUAGUGAGUUUGAUGCCAUGAUUCAGAGUGGAGCUGCCUUUGCCAGUCAGUUUCAAUUCAAUGAUCCGGUGCUUGAUCGCAUUGAUCAAGAAAUUUUGGGACGAAGUCCAGGACAAGUUGUACCUGGUGGCUGGUGCUUGGGAGAAGCUGGGAAUGAAACUUGUUCAGUUUGGGGUGAUGCUGAUGUUUUGAGGCCUGGUCCAGGAGCAGCGAGGCUUGAGAAACGAANGCUAUCAAGGGGUUCAUUUCGGUCUCACCAAUGUAUGUUUGAAUGAUCUGGUUUUCUCAAUCUCAAAAGAAGAUCACACUGACAGAAGAGGGUGGAUGGCAGACAGACCAGCUUCUGCCGCUCGAAAAAUUUUUGUAAAAAGUUACUUCAAUCUGAUAUUAUUUUAGCAACAGUAAAUUUGUAUCUCAUUGGAGUUGACUGUUGAGAUUUUUGUCAAGUGAAAUUAUAAAUCACGUGCUACCA